rnacentral:rRNA from 1 species
GGUUAAGCGACUAAGCGUACACGGUGGAUGCCCUGGCAGUCAGAGGCGAUGAAGGACGUGCUAAUCUGCGAUAAGCGCCGGUAAGGUGAUAUGAACCGUUAUAACCGGCGAUUUCCGAAUGGGGAAACCCAGUGUGACUCGUCACACUAUCAUUAACUGAAUCCAUAGGUUAAUGAGGCGAACCGGGGGAACUGAAACAUCUAAGUACCCCGAGGAAAAGAAAUCAACCGAGAUUCCCCCAGUAGCGGCGAGCGAACGGGGAGGAGCCCAGAGCCUGAAUCAGCAUGUGUGUUAGUGGAAGCGUCUGGAAAGGCGCGCGAUACAGGGUGACAGCCCCGUACACAAAAGCGCAUGUGCUGUGAGCUCGAUGAGUAGGGCGGGACACGUGGUAUCCUGUCUGAAUAUGGGGGGACCAUCCUCCAAGGCUAAAUACUCCUGACUGACCGAUAGUGAACCAGUACCGUGAGGGAAAGGCGAAAAGAACCCCGGCGAGGGGAGUGAAAAAGAACCUGAAACCGUGUACGUACAAGCAGUGGGAGCCUCUUUAUGGGGUGACUGCGUACCUUUUGUAUAAUGGGUCAGCGACUUAUAUUCUGUAGCAAGGUUAACCGAAUAGGGGAGCCGGAGGGAAACCGAGUCUUAACCGGGCGUUAAGUUGCAGGGUAUAGACCCGAAACCCGGUGAUCUAGCCAUGGGCAGGUUGAAGGUUGGGUAACACUAACUGGAGGACCGAACCGACUAAUGUUGAAAAAUUAGCGGAUGACCUGUGGCUGGGGGUGAAAGGCCAAUCAAACCGGGAGAUAGCUGGUUCUCCCCGAAAGCUAUUUAGGUAGCGCCUCGUGAAUUCAUCUCCGGGGGUAGAGCACUGUUUCGGCUAGGGGGCCAUCCCGGCUUACCAACCCGAUGCAAACUGCGAAUACCGGAGAAUGUUAUCACGGGAGACACACGGCGGGUGCUAACGUCCGUCGUGAAGAGGGAAACAACCCAGACCGCCAGCUAAGGUCCCAAAGUCAUGGUUAAGUGGGAAACGAUGUGGGAAGGCCCAGACAGCCAGGAUGUUGGCUUAGAAGCAGCCAUCAUUUAAAGAAAGCGUAAUAGCUCACUGGUCGAGUCGGCCUGCGCGGAAGAUGUAACGGGGCUAAACCAUGCACCGAAGCUGCGGCAGCGACACUGUGUGUUGUUGGGUAGGGGAGCGUUCUGUAAGCCUGUGAAGGUGGCCUGUGAGGGUUGCUGGAGGUAUCAGAAGUGCGAAUGCUGACAUAAGUAACGAUAAAGCGGGUGAAAAGCCCGCUCGCCGGAAGACCAAGGGUUCCUGUCCAACGUUAAUCGGGGCAGGGUGAGUCGACCCCUAAGGCGAGGCCGAAAGGCGUAGUCGAUGGGAAACGGGUUAAUAUUCCCGUACUUGGUGUUACUGCGAAGGGGGGACGGAGAAGGCUAUGUUGGCCGGGCGACGGUUGUCCCGGUUUAAGCGUGUAGGUGUGUGUUCCAGGUAAAUCCGGUUCACUUUAACACUGAGGCGUGACGACGAGGCACUACGGUGCUGAAGCAACAAAUGCCCUGCUUCCAGGAAAAGCCUCUAAGCAUCAGGUAACAUCAAAUCGUACCCCAAACCGACACAGGUGGUCAGGUAGAGAAUACCAAGGCGCUUGAGAGAACUCGGGUGAAGGAACUAGGCAAAAUGGUGCCGUAACUUCGGGAGAAGGCACGCUGACACGUAGGUGAAGUGAUUUACUCACGGAGCUGAAGUCAGUCGAAGAUACCAGCUGGCUGCAACUGUUUAUUAAAAACACAGCACUGUGCAAACACGAAAGUGGACGUAUACGGUGUGACGCCUGCCCGGUGCCGGAAGGUUAAUUGAUGGGGUCAGCGCAAGCGAAGCUCCUGAUCGAAGCCCCGGUAAACGGCGGCCGUAACUAUAACGGUCCUAAGGUAGCGAAAUUCCUUGUCGGGUAAGUUCCGACCUGCACGAAUGGCGUAAUGAUGGCCAGGCUGUCUCCACCCGAGACUCAGUGAAAUUGAACUCGCUGUGAAGAUGCAGUGUACCCGCGGCAAGACGGAAAGACCCCGUGAACCUUUACUAUAGCUUGACACUGAACAUUGAGCCUUGAUGUGUAGGAUAGGUGGGAGGCUUUGAAGUGUGGACGCCAGUCUGCAUGGAGCCGACCUUGAAAUACCACCCUUUAAUGUUUGAUGUUCUAACGUGGACCCGUGAUCCGGGUUGCGGACAGUGUCUGGUGGGUAGUUUGACUGGGGCGGUCUCCUCCUAAAGAGUAACGGAGGAGCACGAAGGUUGGCUAAUCCUGGUCGGACAUCAGGAGGUUAGUGCAAUGGCAUAAGCCAGCUUGACUGCGAGCGUGACGGCGCGAGCAGGUGCGAAAGCAGGUCAUAGUGAUCCGGUGGUUCUGAAUGGAAGGGCCAUCGCUCAACGGAUAAAAGGUACUCCGGGGAUAACAGGCUGAUACCGCCCAAGAGUUCAUAUCGACGGCGGUGUUUGGCACCUCGAUGUCGGCUCAUCACAUCCUGGGGCUGAAGUAGGUCCCAAGGGUAUGGCUGUUCGCCAUUUAAAGUGGUACGCGAGCUGGGUUUAGAACGUCGUGAGACAGUUCGGUCCCUAUCUGCCGUGGGCGCUGGAGAACUGAGGGGGGCUGCUCCUAGUACGAGAGGACCGGAGUGGACGCAUCACUGGUGUUCGGGUUGUCAUGCCAAUGGCACUGCCCGGUAGCUAAAUGCGGAAGAGAUAAGUGCUGAAAGCAUCUAAGCACGAAACUUGCCCCGAGAUGAGUUCUCCCUGAGACUUAGAGUCUCCUGAAGGAACGUUGAAGACGACGACGUUGAUAGGCCGGGUGUGUAAGCGCAGCGAUGCGUUGAGCUAACCGGUACUAAUGAACCGUGAGGCUUAACCUU